GGGGCCAUAGCUCAGUUUGGUAGAGCGCUUGCAUGGCAUGCAAGAGGUCAGGGGUUCGAUCCUCCUUGGCUCCA
rnacentral:tRNA from 1 species